rnacentral:rRNA from 1 species
GUGGGGAAUCUUCCGCAAUGGACGAAAGUCUGACGGAGCAACGCCGCGUGAGUGAAGAAGGUUUUCGGAUCGUAAAGCUCUUUCGUUAGGGACGAACGUGCUCUUUGUGAAUAAUGAGGAGUAAUGACGGUACCUAAAUAAGAAGCCACGGCUAACUACGUGUCAGCAGCCGCGGUAAUACGUAGGUGGCAAGCGUUGUCCGGAAUUAUUGGGCGUAACGCGCGCGCAGGCGGGAUAUCAAGUCUGUCUUAAAAGUGCGAGGCUCAACCUCGUGAGGGGACGGAAACUGGUAUUCUUGAGUGUCGGAGAGGAAAGUGGAAUUCCAAGUGUAGCGGUGAAAUGCGUAGAGAUUUGGAAGGACACCAGUGGCGAAGGCGACUUUCUGGACGAUGUCUGACGCUGAGGCGCGAAAGCUAGGGGAGCGAACGGGAUUAGAAACCCUAGUAGUCC